rnacentral:tRNA from 2 species
ACAGUCGUGGCCGAGUGGUUAAGGCGAUGGACUAGAAAUACAUUGGCGUCUCCUCGCACGGGUUCAAAUCCUGUCGACUGCG